UUUUAACAAAACUCUACUGCCUGUAUCCAGUUGAGCCUGAUCUAGUGCAGUCUCCCUGGAUCAGUUCAAUGUCUACUCUCUCCGAUGCCCCUUUAUACAUCAGUAUGGAACACGGAGAUGUUUAGAUGACGAGCAUAUGGUGAUGUCUUUAUACACUGGUAUUACCAUCUUUCCCGCAAAUGACUGCAAUGGCCUCUUAACCCUAUCUGGACUUCUCUUCCCUGCCUUUUCCAAAUCUUUCUUGGUACCACACUUACGUCAUCCUAUUAUACCUGUGGAAAUAGGUAUAUACCUCAGCAAAAAGUGAGCCGCAAAUUCCUCUCAUCCCUGUACACAUCAUGUUUUGCAAUGUGACUGUGCUGCCUCUGCCAUCAAAAGGGAGUCUAUUUCUUCACUUCCCUGGGUCUGGGCUGGCUUAACCACUUGCUCUAACCAACAGAUGUUAGGUGAAGUGACAACAUGGACUUCUGAACCGAGGCCUCCAAGACCACAUGGAACUGCCUUCUAGGCACAGGAGGAUGAAAGUGUAUGAAGCCCUCUCUACUGAGCCACCUAAACCAACUGGUGAACAGCAUCACCACCUGGACGACAUAGGAGAAAGGCAAUCUUAGUUCACUCAAACCCAUCAAGCCUGCAGGGGACUACGAAGCGGGAGUCACUCCAAGCAAACCCAGUGAAGAAGCCCAAGAUGACCUAAUCCAAAGAACUGUCAUUAAUGGUUGUGGUUUUAAAGCCACUAAAUUUGGGGUUAGUUUCUUAUGUAGUGAUCAUUAACUGAUUCAGCACCCCCCCAUGACCUCAUGAUUAAGUUUUAAACUCUUAAGACUUUCUUGGGAUCCCUUUUGUAGCUAUCCAAUCUCAUCCCUCAGUCCACCCAUAACUGUGAAAAUCAAUAAACGGAAAUCCCUCUAAAAUUGAGCCAGUAAGCCCUUGCUCCAGGAUGCAAACCUCAGUGGGUUCCUUUUUUACGGUAGUGACGAUUUGCCUAGUAUGCUGAAGUUAGCCUAUAAGUGAAUAAAAGGCAUGGUCCCCAGCAUUCUGUUUAAAAGACUGGUCACAGAAACCAGUAAGCAAUGAAUAUAUAUAUUUUUUAACUUGAGGAGUUAACAUUGUAUUGCUUGAGACUCAGUCCUGUUAAUUAAGCCUACUGUAAUUCUCUCCUAAAGAGAGGUAACUAGAGGUUUACAGUCACUCUGGCUACAGAGAAGUUUGUAACUAGUCAUCAAAACAAAACAAUGCAAAACAAGUAUUCCCUGGGAUUUCAUUCAAAAUGGGACACAGAAACCAACGAAUAAAUCACUACAUACAUAUCCCUAAAAGUUAGCAAUGCGCUUAAAUACAAAGAAACAAAAUAUCAAACUCAUGAAAGCCAGUACUGAAAGAACUACAUACUUGGACUUAGCAUUUCUCUUCCACCUAAUGUGGUCUUUUGGCAUCUUUUUUUUAUGGAACAUACUUUUUUUUAAAGAAAUUACAACUGUUAGUUACACUGACAUAUGAAUGUUGUAAAACCUUACAAUAAGGGAAUAUACAUGUUCUAUUCUCCAUAGGUAUUCACAAUGUUAGAAAUCUGUCAUAUAUUUAUUUACAUGUAUAUUCAUGAGUAAAAACAUACUUUUACAUAACUGGUAACAGAAUAUACAGGUUACCUUUUUUACCUUUAUUUCUCUCCAUGUCACUGCAUCCAAAUCCUCAUUCUUUAUAACAGCUACACAGUAUUCUACUGCCUGAAUGUACCCAUCAUUUUAACCAUUCCACUACUGAUGCUUAUCUAUGGAGUUUCCACUUUUUUUUUUUUUUAAGGCAGGGAGGGAGAGAGGGAGAGAGUUAUCGUAAGGAGGCUCUGCACCCAGGUGCCCCGAGAGUUUCCACUUUUUUAAUGUUGUUGCAAUUAAUUAUUUUUAUUUUUAAAUAACUUAAAACCUAUCAAAAGGCUGCAAAACCAGUACAAAGUUCUGGUAUACCUUCACUCAACUUUUCCAAAUGUUAAUGUCUUCUAUAACUAUGGUACAAUUAUCCAAACCUAGAAGUUAACAUUGCUAUACUACUGUAGCUAAUUUACAUACGUUAUUUGAAUAUCACCCUUUUUCCCACUAACGUUUUAUUUUUCCUGAUUUAGGAUCUAAUCCUGGAUUUCACACUGCAAUUCAUUCUCAUGUUUCCUUGGGCUCUUCCAAUCUGAGAUACAACCGUGUGCAUAAACAGACUAGUCACCUCCUGAGACUGCAGCCUUGAGAAUUCUCCAGGUCCGGAAGUUGAAUCUUGACUAGUCAACCUGACCAGGAUCAUUCAAUGGACUAAAGAUAGGAACGAACUACAUGGACCAAUUAUGGCCAAUAAGGUAUGAGGGGAAAUACGUGGAGGGUUUAUGGACUUUCCUUCAUUCUUCUAGGGACAUAUAUCAAAACAUUACUGUUUCCAGUUUGAGGGCACUGUUGUGUAAGCAUGUGAUACUUAGCAUCAUAGCCAUCCUGAGACCACACGUGGUCAAUCUUAUGACCCCAAACUAUUACCCUGGGAAGAGCAGAGCAUAUGAAUGUAAUGAGCCCACCAUGUCUUUGGUGGUAUUACACUGCUAAAAUAAGCACACAA